AUGACUCUUAACGUUCCCAAGCGCACCCUGAGAGGCAGGUGCAGCAGCUUUCCGACGGCUCCUCUGCCGCCUGUGUAUCCCAGCCCCAAGACCAACACCGGCAAUCUUCACAUCCGACUUUAUUUUUUUAACUCCUUCAGAUCUACCUCCGCUCAAGUCUAUCAAGAGGAAAACAAGAGCGUUCCAAACACACACCGAGCAACAGGAUCCCAACUUCCUGGUUCUAAAGGAAUGCGAUGCCCUGAUGACCCGUCCCGCCCCGCACCCGCACGGCCGCCUACCCGGGCUCCGGCGGAACCGAGGGGCGAGCAGCGAGGCUGGCGCCGCACUGCGGGUGCCGGCGCCCGCCGGGCCUGGGGGCGCUCGCGGCUCGCGACCCCGGCCCCGCCCAGGCCCUGCCCGACCCCAGUCCCUGCCGGCCUUGGCCCAGACCCAGCCCUGACCCUGGCCCGGUCUUCGGGGCACCCAGCUCCGUCGACUCCCGCCUCGCCUCAGCGGGUCCUCCUCAGCCCCGGCCCUGGCCUUCCCCUGCCCUGGCCCUGGCCCUCUUCAGCCCGUUUUUCCCUGCCCCGGCCCCGGUCCUCCUCAGCCCCGGCUUUCCCCAGCCCCGGCCCCGGCCCCAGUCCUCCUCAGCCCCGGCCCUUCCCGUGCCCUAGCCCCGGUGCUCAGCCCGGCCCCGGCCUUCCCCUGCCCCGGCACCGGCCCGAGGCCCGGCCCUGCCCGCCGCGGCCGCGUCCUCCGGGAAGAUGGCGGCGCAGUGACAGGCGGCGCGGCGCGGGUCCGAGCUGGGCCGGGAGGGACCGCCCGCCGCGACCCAGGGUGCCUCACCUGUCAGCGCCGCCGCCCCGCCCGACCGGCCGCCCGCGGGCUCCUCGCCUCAGCCCCGGGACCCGGCGGCCGCGCCACACGCGGGGACGGCGAGGAGAGAGACGGCAGGGAGAGGCGGCGCGGCCGGGCCGGGCCGGAGGUAGGGGAGAGGGCGAGGGCGGGCGCGGGCUGGCGGCGGCGGCGGCGGAUUCUUCCCCUUUCGGGCCCGAAAAUGUCUCAACCCCGGGACUCCAGAUCCCCAACGCUCCUUCCCGUUCGCAUGAGAACACACAGCUCCCACUUCCGGGACCCUGCGGAAGUCCCGCCCCCGCGCGGACCCGCGCUCCGCGCCCUGCCCUCUCGCACUCACCCGCCGGUCCCGCGGACUGGCGCUCAGCACCCGGGAGAGCCUCACGUCAUGGCGUUGCGGCGAGCUGA
rnacentral:lncRNA from 1 species